rnacentral:rRNA from 1 species
UACGUAGGGUGCAAGCGUUGUCCGGAAUUAUUGGGCGUAAAGAGCUCGUAGGCGGUUUGUCGCGUCGAAUGUGAAAACCCGGGGCUCAACCCCGGGCCUGCAUUCGAUACGGGCAGACUAGAGUUCGGUAGGGGAGUCUGGAAUUCCUGGUGUAGCGGUGGAAUGCGCAGAUAUCAGGAGGAACACCGAUGGCGAAGGCAGGUCUCUGGGCCGCAACUGACGCUGAGGAGCGAAAGCAUGGGGAGCGAACAGG